AUAUUAAUAAGCGGAGGAAAAGAAACUAACAAGGGUUCCCAUAGUAACGGCGAGUGAAGUGGGAAGAGCUCAAAUUUGGAAUCUCCAGGGGCCAACUCUGGCGAAUUGUAGUCUCGAGAAGACUUUUCUGGUGUGGCUGCUGGUCUAAGUUCCUUGGAACAGGGCAUCAAAGAGGGUGAGAAUCCCGUAUUUGACUGCACAGCACAUGCCUCUACGUGAGUCUUUCAAAGAGUCGGGUUGUUUGGGAAUGCAGCCCAAAAUGGGUGGUAAAUUCCAUCUAAAGCUAAAUAUUGGCACGAGACCGAUAGCGCACAAGUA
rnacentral:rRNA from 1 species